CCGGGGCCGAGUUCGAGCACCCGCUCGGUGGUAUGCGAGAGCUCGGAGGUGAUCACCGC
rnacentral:sRNA from 1 species